UUUCAGAGAUGAAUUCGUGUCCGAAAGGAAAUCUGAACACAGGUGCUGCAUGGCUGUCGUCAGCUCGUGUCGUGAGAUGUUGGGUUAAGUCCCGCAACGAGCGCAACCCUUGUCAUUAAUUGCCAUCAUUUAGUUGGGCACUUUAAUGAGACUGCCGGUGACAAACCGGAGGAAGGUGGGGAUGACGUCAAGUCCUCAUGGCCCUUAUGGGUAGGGCUUCACACGUAAUACAAUGGCGCGUACAGAGGGUUGCCAACCCGCGAGGGGGAGCCAAUCUCAGAAAGCGCGUCGUAGUCCGGAUCGGAGUCUGCAACUCGACUCCGUGAAGUCGGAAUCGCUAGUAAUCGCGGAUCAGCAUGUCGCGGUGAAUACGUUCCCGGGUCUUGUACACACCGCCCGUCACACCAUGGGAGUGGGUUUCACCAGAAGCAGGUAGUCUAACCGUAAGGAGGGCGCCUGCCACGGUGAGAUUCAUGACUGGGGUGA
rnacentral:rRNA from 1 species